GAAGCCUGAAGGAGGAGAGAUCACUAGAAACGAACUCGGUUUACCCUUUUAUCUGUGGAUUAAUUGUCAGAGUAGAGGACCUUUACCUGCAUUUCAGUCCGUAGAUGGGUUAACUCACAACGUCACGAGAUCGAUGCACACCAUCAACGGGGCAGAAGACUGUGAGUUGCUGUGAUUCUGGAUGGCCAGAUAGCUACCAACAAUGACAAGAAACUGCCCUGUGGGGAAUUGUAAGGAAAAGGCAGACCAACCAACCCCAUCUCUCUCCUACAAUAAGCAUGGCUGCAAUAGAAAAUGACAGCCAGUUGGAAAGGCAAGGAGGAGGAAUAAAGGACACCAUUUUCUCUCCUCGUCAGGCAAUACUAAUGCACACCAUGAUGGAGAAAAAGGCAGAUGAAGGCUGUGCCUUUCUUUCCCAGUCGCUGCAAGGUGCCCUGGCAGCUGAUGGAUGAGACUGAUGUAAUUAGGAUGGGUGUGGCCUGGUUGCCAUGGAGACAGUCCGUCAGUGCCAUCCGGAUGCUCCCAACAGCCUCGCACACAAAAAUAGCUCAAAGUCUCCGACAUGAAAACAGCUCCCCCACAGAGCCAUCACACUAUGAGGGCGAUAACAAUGACACACCUUGGUCCAACAUAGAGUUUCACCUUAACACACACACACAAAACACACACAGACACAGAACACAGACACACAACAGACGUCUCACAGCAUGUAUGUAUACAUUCAUCAUCAUAAACAGCGUCGUCUCACAGCAUGUAUGUAUACAUUCAUCAUCAUAAACAGCGUCGUCUCACACCCACCCACCCUCUUUUUCUCCUUUGUCUCACACGGCAGACAGAGAGCGUGAUUAGGGCGUGUCUGCUGUGAGACAGAGGGGAGGGGGGGUAAACAGCUAAGCCUGAUCACCCAGGCCCCGACUAACACACACCUUAGAUACCACCACAACCAUACAUGCAACAUCCCCCUUUCACACACACACAACUAGAGCUUUGCACUCCCAGCAUAAAUAGGCUACAUGUGCACCUUAUACACACAAAUCAGAUCACCACUCACAGCCUAGAUACACACACUCCUAACACACAGACACAGAGACAGAUAAUCCAUUCCUUACUUAGAUGUACGUGUAUUUUGGGUAUGUUGUGAAACUGUUAGAUUUUACUUGUUAGAUAUUACUGUACUGUCGGAGCUAGAAACACAAGCAUUUCACUACACCCGCAAUAACAUCUGCUAAACAUGUGUAUGUGACCAAUAAAAUGUGAUUUGAUUUACACAAUAAACACAGCAAACACAUCA